rnacentral:rRNA from 1 species
AACGAACGCUGGCGGCAUGCCUAACACAUGCAAGUUGAACGAGAUCUUCGGGUCUAGUGGCGCACGGGUGCGUAACGCGUGGGAAUCUGCCCUUUGGUUCGGAAUAACAGUUGGAAACGACUGCCAAUACCGGAUGAUGACGAAAGUCCAAAGAUUUAUCGCCAGAGGAUGAGCCCGCGUAGGAUUAGUUAGUUGGUGUGGUAAAGGCGCACCAAGGCGACGAUCCUUAGCUGGUCUGAGAGGAUGAUCAGCCACACUGGGACUGAGACACGGCCCAGACUCCUACGGGAGGCAGCAGUGGGGAAUAUUGGACAAUGGGCGAAAGCCUGAUCCAGCAAUGCCGCGUGAGUGAUGAAGGCCUUAGGGUUGUAAAGCUCUUUUACCCGGGAUGAUAAUGACAGUACCGGGAGAAUAAGCUCCGGCUAACUCCGUGCCAGCCGCCGCAGUAA